rnacentral:rRNA from 1 species
UCGAGCGAAUGGAUUAAGAGCUUGCUCUUAUGAAGUUAGCGGCGGACGGGUGAGUAACACGUGGGUAACCUACCCAUAAGACUGGGAUAACUCCGGGAAACCGGGGCUAAUACCGGAUAAUAUUUUGAACUGCAUAGUUCGAAAUUGAAAGGCGGCUUCGGCUGUCACUUAUGGAUGGACCCGCGUCGCAUUAGCUAGUUGGUGAGGUAACGGCUCACCAAGGCGACGAUGCGUAGCCGACCUGAGAGGGUGAUCGGCCACACUGGGACUGAGACACGGCCCAGACUCCUACGGGAGGCAGCAGUAGGGAAUCUUCCGCAAUGGACGAAAGUCUGACGGAGCAACGCCGCGUGAGUGAUGAAGGCUUUCGGGUCGUACAACUCUGUUGUUAGGGAAGAACAAGUGCUAGUUGAAUAAGCUGGCACCUUGACGGUACCUAACCAGAAAGCCACGGCUAACUACGUGCCAGCAGCCGCGGUAAUACGUAGGUGGCAAGCG